rnacentral:rRNA from 1 species
UACGGGGGGGGCAAGCGUUGUUCGGAAUUACUGGGCGUAAAGGGCUCGUAGGCGGCCAACUAAGUCGGACGUGAAAUCCCUCGGCUUAACCGGGGAACUGCGUCCGAUACUGGAUGGCUCGAGUUUGGGAGAGGGAUGCGGAAUUCCAGGUGUAGCGGUGAAAUGCGUAGAUAUCUGGAGGAACACCGGUGGCGAAGGCGGCUCUCUGGUCCACAACUGACGCUGAGGUGCGAAAGCUAGGGGAGCAAACGGG